CAUUAAAAAUCAAUAAUUCGACAAGAGUUACAUGGCGAUGACGUCAUCGCGUAUGUUUUGAAAUGCAAUGACAAAGGGGAGAGGAAAAAUUGAGAGUAGGAAGCAGAAGUAAGAUCUUUUGGCAGCGCUGCUUAUCGUCUCUUUCGCAAAACCUUCUGCAGUCAAAAUUUGCAGAGGUUUUUGGUUGACCACUUGUCAGUCUGGAAGCGGUGCACUCCUAGGCAACACGCACUUAUUGUCUGGGCUUUGAAGAAGUGCGGAAAAAAAGCAGAUAAAGUGAUCGCGGAAAAGUGUUAUAGUUUUUUAUAAUAUACGAGUAUAUUCAUUUAAUUGUGAAUUUUUCUAUUUUUUAUGCCCAACUACAUACAUACAUAUGGUGAUCCGCUGGCAAGGUGAGAAUGUAUGUGUACGCGACUAAAAAAUGUGAAUACAUCCCUGUUUCUCCCCGUGGGACACCGAAAAUGUCAAAUGCGAUGCUGAAUAAUCUUCAAAUCUAACAAAACAAUAGUCUAGGAUUAUAUUGAUCCUACACCAACUUAACUUCGAAGGAAGUUCCAUAACCUGCGCUGAAUCAAUUUAAAAACUAAGUGAAAAGUGAAAGUAAAAAAGUGAAAUGAAUGUAUGAUAUCUGCAUUUGUGUGUGGUACCAUGUUGCCUUAAGUGAAAAGUGAAAGUGAAAAAGUGAAAUGAAUUUAUGAUAAUUGCAUACGAAAAAAGGAUGAUACGAUGUUAAGGUGCAUAAAUAAUAUAGAAAAACUUAUAAACGUCGCUCAACAAUCAACCAAUUCCAAACAGCAUCUUUAAUAAUACGGAUAUUUAAGGUCAGUUAUCCCUGAAAUGUUUUUCUAUUUUAUAUUUCUAUAUCUAUAUCUUCUAUAUUUUUUCGAAGAUUUUAAACAUAUUUCACAGUCUUAAAUAUUUUCUCCUACUUUCUUAUGAAUGACAAAUAAUUUGGUGAAUAAUUGUUCUUAGUUGUAAGUUAUAGACAUUAUCAUUAUUAUUUCAUCAAAAUACAUUCCAUUCUGUUUUCUCGAAUUUUAUUUCUU